rnacentral:lncRNA from 1 species
GGAGGAGCCGCCGCGGGAGCGGCGAGCGGCAGCACCGGGCCGGGGGACACCGGGCUGAGGGCAGCGCUCGGCCCCGGCGAAGACCAGGGAGGGGACGGUUGGUGCCCGGCCCCUCCGCCACUUCCCACUCAACAUGCUGGUGGAGGGACCUGAGCUGGUGGUUGUUCUGGUUGUUCUGGAUUUCCAGCACUCUCCGGCCAGCCGGGCCCCGGCAUCUCCCACCAUGGUUACCCCACAAACCUCCCCCUGCAAUGAAGUGCUUUGUGACGCUCCAUGAGAACAUUCCUAGUCAUUCCAGGCCAAACCAUUCCCCAGCACAACCCAGGCUGUGUCUGGAGCCUCCAUCAGCCCGCAGCUCCCUCCCGACGCUGGCUCACAUGGUCCCCGCUGCUGGAUGAAGUCCUGGGCGGUUUUGUUCCAUGGACAGGGAAGUGGCUUUGUUGACUCAGUGGAUCCAUCCUUCACAUGGUGUGGGGUUCUGGUGGUGGUUUGGAAGAUCCUUUUUCCCUUGCAGUGGUGCUGUCACCUCGCCAGACACCCCAAGGCAGGGGACCAGGGAGCUGGGAUGCACGUGCUGUAGCAGGGAGGCUGCUGAGGAUUCGAGGGGAUGGUGUCACAAAAGAUGAUGGGAAUGGGUUGGGGCAGCGGGAAGCAUGUUCCUUUGCCCCGUUGUACCAUGGCUGAGCCAGGGAACGGCGGGUUUGGGGCUGCCCAUCACCCCGUGAUGCCGCCUGCCCUGAGCAGAGCCCCGAUCUCAGGGGACCUGGCUUCUCCUUCUGUUUUCAUUUGCUUUUUUAUCGGUGCCACUGGAGUUUGGUUUCAAGAGAGCUGGUUUUGGGAUGUGCCAGGGCUGUGCAUGGGUGACCCUGGGCAGAGGGCCCUCGUGGAGGCAAGUGCAGGCAGGGCAGGCAGCACAGGCAGGGCUGGCUCAUCUCUCCUGGCAGCAUUAGGAGCUGGACGGAUGCCCCCGUGCUGCUGCGGAUGGUGGCCCUGCAGAGGCAGAGCCGGGAGCUGGACUUUACCCUGCAGUGGGGCUUUUCCAGAGCCAGGCCUCCGGUCCCUUCUGGGAGCUGUGCAAGGCAAGACCAAGCAUGAGAAGACAAAUGGUCCAACAGCCACCAGCCUGGCAGGGGAGUACACUUGCAGCUCAUGGCCCUGAGAAGGGGCUUGCUCUCCUCCUGCUCUCCCACCAGGCCCAAGGACAGGAGAUUCCUGUGUGGAGACAUGGGGCAAAAGUCAAGAAGAAUUAAGCAGAGCAUGACUGCAAAGUGCUUUAGCUAAAGCGCAUUAAAGCUA